rnacentral:lncRNA from 1 species
UCUAGCGACACUGAUAAGUCUUUUGUAGACAAAACGCGCGUCUUGUUUAAAAUAUUUUAAUCCUGGUAUCUAUAAUGAGUAUAAACCCAGAUGCAUACAACUUACAAUUGUUAUUUUCUUGACUGAACUUAUUUUCAAUACUAAUAUUACUAAGACUGUUUCUGUCAAAUGUUGAUUGGAUCAUGUGGUUUAAAGGGAUAGUCAAUAAUGUUAAAAU